CUACACCUGCAACGCUGACACUUCCGAUGUUGCUGAUAUUUAUGGUGUCCAUGGCGAUUACAGAGUGUCACAAACAACUACAAUGGACACAAGAACAUAUGCAGAAAAUUAAAGAAGAGCGUGAUCCCUUUGGAAGCUGGCUGGACGGACUGUUUGGGGGAACGGGUUCAUGGUUAAAGCAAUUGCUUAAAGCUCUCGCAGUAGGAUUUGCAAUCUUUGUGUGUAUUCUAAUCUGUCUUCCAUGCUUUGUAGGAUGCUUGCAGAACUGCCUUCAACGAAUGAUGGACAAGACUUUUGACUAUCACAUUGAGUAUCAUAGAUUGCGUGAAAAAUUAUAGAGGGGUUUAGGUUGUUGCGUUCGUGCUGUAACGGGGCAAGGCUUGGCCGAGCACGGAAAAGAAUUCCCUGUUGCUCUGAUGAUUGCUUAAGAACUGUAGUAGAAAAAUAGAGAAGAAGAAGGAUGAUAAAAGAAUAUGGAAACGGCCAAAUAAGGCACAAUGUUAUCUGGUGUGAACUAAUCAGAGUGGGACAUGACAGCACGGUUAUCUAGGUAAAAAUGUAUAUAAGCUGUGUUUAGUAGUGAAUAAACGCCAUUUGCCUCACUUACUCCUGGGGUCUGGGUGAGCAUCUGGCCCCGACCUGGUAAAGGGUCGGUUUCGCCCAGCAGUAAGCCCUACAUGUGGACAG
ensembl:lncRNA